rnacentral:tRNA from 1 species
GUUUUAAUAAUUUAAUAUAAAAUAUUGGUCUUGUAAAUCAAAUAUAAGAAAUAUUCUUUUAAAACU